rnacentral:lncRNA from 1 species
GGAGUGAGCAAGAUGAAGAGCUCAGAAGUGAAGAGGAGAAGGCCCAGAAAGAGGGGACAUUUGACUGGAACCUCUUGAGACGGAGAAAACGUGCCUUCAGCUGCGUGGAUGAAACUCCGUAUCUAACUUGAAGGUUGAAACAGAUUGAACAUGACAGCUCUCCAGUAGAUACCUCUUCCACUGAGGUGAGAGACAUUGAGGAAUUUGACACACAGAUAGAAGAGAAAAAGGCAAUGAGAAAACAGUGCAGAGAUUGGAAUGAUACAACCACAAACCAAAGAAUUCCAGCAGCUACCAGAAGCUGGAAGAGACAAGGAAGGAUUCUCCCCUAGACUUCCAUAGGGAG